ACGCCUAACACAUGCAAGUCGAACGAAGUAGCAAUACUUAGUGGCAGACGGGUGAGUAACAUGUAGGUAUCUGCCCUUUGGCCUGGAAUAACACGAGGAAACUUGUGCUAAUACUGGAUAAGUCUUUACGGAGAAAGCUUUAUGCACCAUUGGAUGAGCCUGCACUUGAUUAGUUUGUUGGUGGGGUAAUGGCCUACCAAGACUGUGAUCAAUAGCUGAUUUGAGAGGAUGAUCAGCCACAUUGGGACUGAGACACGGCCCAAACUCCUACGGGAGGCAGCAGUGGGGAAUCUUGCACAAUGGAGGAAACUCUGAUGCAGCGAUGCCGCGUGAGUGAAGAAGGCCUUUGGGUUGUAAAGCUCUUUCGUCGGGGAAGAAAAUGACUGUACCCGAAUAAGAAGGUCCGGCUAACU
rnacentral:rRNA from 1 species